rnacentral:rRNA from 1 species
UAGGGAAUAUUAGUAAUGGGCGAAAGCCUGAACUAGCAACGCCGCGUGUGCGAAGAAGGCCUUCGGGUUGUAAAGCACUCUUUGAGAGGAUGAGGAAGGACGGUACUCUCAGAAUAAGUCUCGGCUAACUACGUGCCAGCAGCCGCGGUAACACGUAGGAGGCGAACGUUAUCCGGAUUUACUGGGCGUAAAGCGCGUGUAGGUGGUUUGGUAAGUAGGGCGUGAAAGCUCCUGGCUCAACUGGGAGAGGCCGUUCUAAACUGCCGAACUAGAGGAUGGUAGAGGGAGAUGGAAUUCCGGGUGUAGCGGUGGAAUGCGCAGAUAUCCGGAGGAACACCAGUGGCGAAAGCGGCCUCCUGGACCACUCCUGACACUCAGACGCGAAAGCUAGGGUAGCAAACGG